UACGGAGGGUGCGAGCGCUGUUCGGAAUUAUUGGGCGUAAAGGGCGCGUAGGCGGCGCCACAAGUCACCUGUGAAAACUCUGGGCUCAACCCAGAGCCUGCAGGCGAAACUGUGGUGCUGGAGUAUGGGAGAGGUGCGUGGAAUUCCCGGUGUAGCGGUGAAAUGCGUAGAUAUCGAGAGGAACACCUGUGGCGAAAGCGGCGCACUGGACCAUAACUGACGCUGAGGCGCGAAAGCUAGGGGAGCAAACAGG
rnacentral:rRNA from 1 species